rnacentral:piRNA from 1 species
UGUGAAUGAACGCCAGUGAGAUUCAGCAGC